CGCGUUCAGGCUGGAGUUAAUGCUAAGUAUAGAAAGCUACGCAAACUGAAAGGACAACUAUUUGGAAAAACCUGGUCCCAUUAUGUGAGAAUCAGCUGCCAAAGCAGGUGGAAGGUGCCAUGAGACCAAAGAAAAGACUCGGGCUUGCACAAAGUGCAGUUUACCAGGGAUUUAAAACAGAAGUGCAUCUCGAGCAGCAGCUAGUGAUGAUGGGUCCUCGCACACUAGGGCAAGAAGAAGGGAUUUAUAUACUAAGCUAGACAAAAGUGGGCUGCUACUAUCCAGACAGUACCUGACCUUUCUCAAGAGCUUGGUAUGUUCGCAUGCCAGUUAAAAAACUGUUGGUCAGCACAACAUGCUCUUCUCUUGAGAGCUUGGUUAGUCCUAUAGGAUUUGGAAUGCACAUCAGGGUCACCUGGCAGGCAAAAUGGCAGUUAUAACCAGGAUGGUGUCGUCAUGCAAGCUGGAUCUCUGCAGCAAUUAUCAGUUCUUUGGGAAGCAAGAGGUGGUAGAAGAGGGGAGAAGCACCUUAGUUCACUCCCCAGCUCAGCUGUUUCUAAGUCUUAAUCUGCUUUGCACACACACAGGAGGGAAUGUGUGAACCUGGUGGAAGAGGGGAGUGAGCUAAAUUUCCUGCCUCCACAGUGGGAGGUGAGUUUCAGUGCCUGAAACUCAAACUAGAAGCUUCAGGAAGAUCAGAAAAGAAUGGGAAAAACAAGUUGUUUGGGAAUCUAGGCAGCUGCCACUGAUCUAGGGCUGUGAGCCAAGGCAGGGCGCCAGGGGAAUUUCACCCAGGAAAUCCCAGAAAAGUAGCCUUCCUGCCUUGUGAUGGCUCAUACAAACCCAUAAUUUAUACACGGCUUCCAACACUCUCUCUCCCCCUGCCUAUGGUGCUGGGGGUUGAAUCCAGGGUUGCUAUAAUAUUAAGCCACAUCCCUAGCCCUUUUUAUUUUUUAUUCUAAGACAGGGUCUCAGUUGCCCAGCUGGCCUCAAACUUUCAAUCCUCCAGCCUCAGCUUCCACCUCCUGAGUCACUGAGAUUACAGGCAUGUACUCGCACAUACCCUGAACAUCUUUUAGAGAACUGUACUGAGGCCCCUCAAACAGUGGCCAACACAGCAUCAACAUCCUGGAUUGUUUUUCUGUUGCCUUUUUUAAAAUGUAUAACUCAGUGGUUCUGGAUUUUUUUAGCAGUGAUUUUCCUAAUACGUGUUUUCCUAAUCUGGACCCACAGGCAAUGCUGUGAUCAGUUAUUUCACAGCACAUAACCAAGGUCACUGACAGCCUCACACAGUAGGGGCCUUAUGACCCUGUCUUGCCAGUUUCACAUUUUAGGGUCUGUUACAACAUCC
rnacentral:lncRNA from 1 species